AAUCAACGCUGGCGGCGUGCCUCAGACAUGCAAGUCGAACGAUUAAAGCUCUCUUCGGAGAGUGCAUAGAGUGGCGCACGGGUGAGUAACACGUAAGUAAUCUACCUUCGAGUGGGGAAUAACGUCCGGAAACGGACGCUAAUACCGCAUAAUGCAGCGGCAUCGUAAGAUGACAGUUGUUAAAGAUUUAUCGCUUGAAGAGGAGCUUGCGGCAGAUUAGCUAGUUGGUAAGGUAAUGGCUUACCAAGGCUACGAUCUGUAACCGGUCUUAGAGGACGGUCGGUCACACUGACACUGAAUAACGGGUCAGACUCCUACGGGAGGCAGCAGUCGGGAAUUUUGGGCAAUGGGCGAAAGCCUGACCCAGCAACGCCGCGUGAAGGAUGAAGUAUUUCGGUAUGUAAACUUCGAAAGAAUAGGAAGAAUAAAUGACGGUACUAUUUAUAAGGUCUGGCUAACUACGUG
rnacentral:rRNA from 1 species